CAGCAGCCGCGGUAAUACGUAGGUCCCGAGCGUUGUCCGGAUUUAUUGGGCGUAAAGGGGGCGCAGGCGGUUUAGUAAGUCUGGAGUUAAAGGCAUUGGCUCAACCAAUGUAUGCUUUGGAAACUGUUUGACUUGAGUGCAGAAGGGGAGAGUGGAAUUCCAUGUGUAGCGGAGAAAUGCGUAGAUAUAUGGAGGAACACCGGUGGCGAAAGCGGCUCUCUGGUCUGUCACUGACGCUGAGGCUCGAAAGCGUGGGUAGCGAACAGGAUUAGAUACCCCAGUAGUCCCUGUCUCUUAUACA
rnacentral:rRNA from 1 species